AUUGAACGCUGGCGGCAGGCCUAACACAUGCAAGUCGAGCGGAUGAAGGGAGCUUGCUCCUGGAUUCAGCGGCGGACGGGUGAGUAAUGCCUAGGAAUCUGCCUGGUAGUGGAGGAUAACGUCCGGAAACGGGCGCUAAUACCGCAUACGUCCUGAGGGAGAAAGUGGGGGAUCUUCGGACCUCACGCUAUCAGAUGAGCCUAGGUCGGAUUAGCUAGUUGGUGGGGUAAAGGCCUACCAAGGCGACGAUCCGUAACUGGUCUGAGAGGAUGAACAGUCACACUGGAACUGAGACACGAUCCUGACUCCUACGGGAGGCAGCAGUGGGGAAUAUUGGACAAUGGGCGAAAGCCUGAUCCAGCCAUGCCGCGUGUAUGAAGAAGGUCUUCGGAUUGUAAAGCACUUUAAGUUGGGAAGAAGGGCAGUAAGUUAAUACCUUGCUGUUUUGACGUUACCAACAGAAUAAGCACCGGCUAACUUCGUG
rnacentral:rRNA from 1 species